rnacentral:rRNA from 1 species
GAUGAACGCUGGCGGCGUGCCUAAUACAUGCAAGUCGAGCGAACAGACGAGGAGCUUGCUCCUUUGACGUUAGCGGCGGACGGGUGAGUAACACGUAGGUAACCUACCUAUAAGACUGGGAUAACUUCGGGAAACCGGAGCUAAUACCGGAUAAUAUUUCGAACCGCAUGGUUCGAUAGUGAAAGAUGGCUUUGCUAUCACUUAUAGAUGGACCUGCGCCGUAUUAGCUAGUUGGUAAGGUAACGGCUUACCAAGGCAACGAUACGUAGCCGACCUGAGAGGGUGACAGGCCACAGUGGACCUGACACCCGGCUCUGACCCCUCCGGGGGCAACAAGGAGGAAUUCUCCAUCAAGGGGCAAAACCCGGACGGAGCACCGCCGCGGGGUUAAUGAAGUUUUUCUACUCUUAAACCUUUUUUUUUGGGGAAAAAAAAACUUUAAAGUAACUGUGCCCGUCUUCCGGUUACCUAAUCAGAAGCCCAGCCCAAACUCCGCC